rnacentral:rRNA from 1 species
AUUGAACGCUGGCGGCAGGCCUAACACAUGCAAGUCGAGCGGGGUUUUCGGACCUAGCGGCGGACGGGUGAGUAAUGCGUAGGAAGCUACCCGAUAGAGGGGGAUACCAGUUGGAAACGACUGUUAAUACCGCAUAAUGUCUACGGACCAAAGUGUGGGACCUUCGGGCCACAUGCUAUCGGAUACGCCUACGUGGGAUUAGCUAGUUGGUGAGGUAAUGGCUCACCAAGGCGACGAUCCCUAGCUGGUUUGAGGGGAUGAUCAGCCACACUGGAACUGAGACACGGUCCAGACUCCUACGGGAGGCAGCAGUGGGGAAUAUUGGACAAUGGGCGCAAGCCUGAUCCAGCCAUGCCGCGUGUGUGAAGAAGGCCUUCGGGUUGUAAAGCACUUUCAGUAGGGAGGAAGCGUUGAGUGUUAAUAGUACUCAGCGUUGACGUUACCUACAGAAGAAGCACCGGCUAACUCUGUGCCAGCCGCCGCCGUAAGAC